rnacentral:rRNA from 1 species
UACGAAGGGUGCAAGCGUUACUCGGAAUUACUGGGCGUAAAGCGUGCGUAGGUGGUUUGUUAAGUCUGCUGUGAAAGCCCCGGGCUCAACCUGGGAAUGGCAGUGGAUACUGGCAAGCUAGAGUGCGGUAGAGGGUAGUGGAAUUCCCGGUGUAGCGGUGAAAUGACGUUGAGAUCGGAAGGAACGCCCGUGGCGAAAGCGAGGUCCUGGACGUCUACUGACGCUGAGACGCGAAAAGCUGAGGGUAGCGGAACGGG